AACGAACGCUGGCGGCAUGCCUAACACAUGCAAGUCGAACGAAGUCUUCGGACCUAGUGGCGCACGGGUGCGUAACGCGUGGGAAUCUGCCCUUGGGUGCGGAAUAACUUCUCGAAAGGGAUGCUAAUACCGCAUAAUGUCGUAAGACCAAAGAUUUAUCGCCCAAGGAUGAGCCCGCGUAAGAUUAGCUAGUUGGUGGGGUAAAAGCCUACCAAGGCGACGAUCUUUAGCUGGUCUGAGAGGAUGAUCAGCCACACUGGGACUGAGACACGGCCCAGACUCCUACGGGAGGCAGCAGUGGGGAAUAUUGGACAAUGGGCGAAAGCCUGAUCCAGCAAUGCCGCGUGAGUGAUGAAGGCCCUAGGGUUGUAAAGCUCUUUUACCAGGGAUGAUAAUGACAGUACCGGGAGAAUAAGCCCCGGCUAAACUCCGUGCCAGCAGCCGCGGUAAU
rnacentral:rRNA from 1 species